CUUGUUUUCACUAAUUUGAACUCGAUGCAGACUUCAAUUCAAGACAUCCGAAGAUUUUCUGAGUUUGAUUUAUCGCUCAAACAGAAACUAAAAAUUUUAAAUUGAAUGAAGAGAUUUGGAAAAGAGUCAUUAUAUAUAUCAGUAAGAGGCUAUUUUAACGUUACAAAAAAUUUUUAGUGAAGAUGGCCAACGCAUUAUAUUCUUCAUUUUCUGGUCUUUUAAACCUCAGGUCGUCGUCUACAUCGUGAAAAUUUUUCCAUUCGGGUACACGUCUUUUAAGCUGCAAAAGAAAUUUAAAGAUUUGAUUCUAUUAAUUUAAAACUUUACGAAA